GCAAGAGUUAGAUAUUGCUUCAGGCACUUGUACAAGAACUUCAAGAAGUACCACAAGGCACCAACCUUGCACAACUUAUUGUGGAAUGCAUGCAAAGCUUACAAAGUGAGGCAUUUUCAGGAGCACUUUGACAACAUAUGCAAAGAAAGUCCGGCUGCUGGUGAAUAUCUUAGGAAAGAAGAUCCAAGUACUUGGUCUAGGGCUUAU